CAGAAGAGAAUUUCUCAGCAUUAAAGUGGAUCAUGGGGAGCUAAUUAUUGCUCUAUGCAAUGCUCAAGACAGACCAACUGCCAUCCAGGAGUCCCAUGCAACAGUCUUUUAACCAAGAUCAUUUUGGGGCCAUAAGAUGAUAUGAAUUGUAUAAAAAACUAAAACUUCUUGACAAAUUUGGAAGAUCAAACGGAUCUUGGGUACUCCUGAAGGGCCCCUGGGACCAGGAUCACCCUAAGAUAUUAACAUAAUCAUUAAAGCUAUUAUUUCAAAAAAAUGCA